UCCUUGUAUUACAAAGGGAAGUUCUAAAAGGGGGACCAUACAGAGAUUAGCAUGGCCCUUCUGUAAGGAUGGCGCAAGUUUGUAAAGCAUUCCACAAUUUA
rnacentral:snRNA from 1 species